GGCGAACGGGUGAGUAAUGCAUCGGAACGUGCCCAGUCGUGGGGGAUAACGCAGCGAAAGUUGUGCUAAUACCGCAUACGAUCUAUGGAUGAAAGCGGGGGACCUUCGGGCCUCGCGCGAUUGGAGCGGCCGAUGUUAGAUUAGGUAGUUGGUGGGGUAAAGGCUCACCAAGCCAACGAUCUAUAGCUGGUCUGAGAGGACGACCAGCCACACUGGAACUGAGACACGGUCCAGACUCCUACGGGAGGCAGCAGUGGGGAAUUUAGGACAAUGGGCGAAAGCCUGAUCCAGCAAUACCGCGUGCAGGAAGAAGGCCCUCGGGUUGUAAACUGCUUUUGUACGGAACGAAACGGCGCGCUCUAAUAAAGUGCGCUAAUGACGGUACCGUAAGAAUAAGCACCGGCUAACUACGUGCCAGCAGCCGCGGUAAUACGUAGGGUGCGAGCGUUAAUCGGAAUUACUGGGCGUAAAGCGUGC
rnacentral:rRNA from 1 species